rnacentral:lncRNA from 1 species
ACACGUUAUCAGCACGAGACUCUACCGUCUCAAGAAGCACUUUGAGAAGAUUAAGGAGUAAUUCGCCCACACGAAUUUCGCUAAUUCCGGGCAUUAUCAGGGUCACGCCUCAAGAGAUAAGUAUCGAUUUUAUGUUAGAUUAAAAUCUAUAAUUAUGUGUUAUCUAUAUUACAUACAAGUGAUCCUAGCUAUUUACUUCCGCUAUUCCUUUCUUUGUUACAAUUGAAUUGAUGACUGGUUUAAUUUAGUCGUAUAGUGGAACGAUUCUGGUCAAUUAUGCAAUCAAUAGGUUUUUGGAUUUUUAAAGUUUGCUGAUAGUUUGGAGGUCCAAUGGCAAUCUUGAAUUUCUACACGGAAAAUAUGUCGUGUUCUCUGGCAUCAAAUUGGCCGGGGAGUCGACCAAAGUUGCCAGAAUUUGUUGCCACGGGAUGGAAACUCAAGAGGUACCGCGUUCUCCGGCAUCAAAUUGGCCGCGGGAGUCGACCAAAAUUGCCAGAAUUUGUUGCCACGGGAUGAAAACUCAAGAGGUAUAUUUGAUAUCACAACAUU